rnacentral:misc_RNA from 1 species
AAGUCGUAACAAGGUUUCCGUAGGUGAACCUGCGGAAGGAUCAUUAACAAAUUUGUAUAUUUAUCAGUGGGCACAGUGUGUGUAGUGGUGUGAAAGCGCUCUGCACACAAGUAACUAGCAAUGUAGUGGGCGUUAUACGUAAAAUGAUACAAAACUUUUAACAAUGGAUCUCUUGGCUCUC